UGGGGAAUUUUGCGCAAUGGGGGAAACCCUGACGCAGCAACGCCGCGUGAGUGAUGAAGGCUUUCGGGUCGUAAAGCUCUGUCUAGAGGGAAGAAAUGAUAAUCGGUUAAUACCCGGUUUUCUUGACGGUACCUCUGAAGGAAGCACCGGCUAACUCCGUGCCAGCAGCCGCGGCAAUACGGAGGGUGCAAGCGUUGUUCGGAUUUAUUGGGCGUAAAGCGCGUGUAGGCGGUUUGUUAAGUCUGAUGUGAAAGCCCCGGGCUCAACCUGGGAAGUGCAUUGGAGACUGGCAGAAUUGAAUACGGGAGAGGGUAGUGGAAUUCCUAGUGUAGGAGUGAAAUCCGUAGAUAUUAGGAGGAACACCGGUGGCGAAGGCGGCUACCUGGACCGAUAUUGACGCUGAGACGCGAAAGCGUGGGGAGCAAACA
rnacentral:rRNA from 1 species